GUUAGUGGCGGACGGGUGAGUAACGCGUGAGCAACCUGCCUCAAAGAGGGGGAUAACAUUCUGAAAAGGAUGCUAAUACCGCAUGAAAUCACGGGAAGACAUCUUCCUGUGAUCAAAGGAGCAAUCCGCUUUGAGAUGGGCUCGCGUCCGAUUAGGUAGUUGGUGAGGUAACGGCCCACCAAGCCGACGAUCGGUAGCCGGACUGAGAGGUUGAACGGCCACAUUGGGACUGAGACACGGCCCAGACUCC
rnacentral:rRNA from 1 species